UUCUACAGAACGGCUCUAUUCAUGAGUCAUGCUGUGUCUCUCUUGAAAUGAAUGCUCUGCAAACACACACGGUUCUAAUCCCUUACUGUCUGUUUACAACCACGUCAUUCCCCACACUAGUUCCUCCCAACCAGCUCUUCUUCAGUUAUAAAAUAGUCAAAGCAUAUAGAUUUAUAUACAUGUGCAAACAAAGAUGUACUGUAACCUGCUUAGUCAUUAUAUUCUGUCAGUUUUAAUGUUGACGGCAGCUAUGGUUUUUUUCAGACUGUGAGGAAACACAGACUCUGGUCUCCUGCUUGAAGUAUUCCAGCAGCAGGCGGUCCACAGCCCUCUGGAGCAGCCGAAGAAACAGAAGCCAGGAGGAGGAGGACCAAUCCCCUGUCAGAACUGUGGCAAGCCCUGCAAAGGCGAGGCUCUGCGGGUCCAGAACAAACACUUCCACAUCAAGUGCUUCGCCUGUAAAGUAUGUGGAGCUGAAUUGGCCCAGGGAGGUUUCUUCGUGCGUCAGGGGGAAUACAUCUGUACUCUGGACUACCAGCGGAUGUACGGGACUCGCUGCUUCAGCUGCCAGGACUUUAUCGAGGGAGAGGUGGUGUCCGCGCUGGGGAAGACCUACCACCCCCGCUGCUUCGUCUGCGCCUCCUGCAAACAGCCGUUCCCCGCCGGCGACCGAGUGACAUUUAAUGGGAAGGAGUGUAUCUGCCAAAAGUGUACCCAGCCCCUCCCUGCCAACAGCCCUGCACCCAUACAGGCCGUCCACAACUGCUGCGGCUGUGGGAAGGAGUUUAAGAACGAACAGUCUCUCGUAGCGCUGGACAAGCACUGGCACCUGGGCUGCUUCAAGUGCAAAGUGUGCAACAAGGUGCUCAAUGCUGAGUACAUCAGCAAGGAUGGAAUCCCUUUCUGUGAGAUGGAUUACCACGCCAUGUUUGGCAUCCAGUGUGAGAGCUGCAAGAACUACAUUACUGGAAAAGUCCUGGAGGCUGGAGAGAAGCACUACCACCCCACAUGUGCCCGCUGUGCCCGCUGUGAGCAGAUGUUUGCAGAGGGAGAAGAAAUGUACCUGCAAGGAUCCUCCAUAUGGCAUCCUCCAUGCAGACAAGCAGCCAAGCAGGAGGAGAAGAGCAAGAAGCAGGUCAGGAUACAGCUCACUGAAGUCCCUGAGCAGCAGGUGACCCGGACUUCAUCUGAGAGCAUUACUUCAGUCCCAGCCUCCAGCGCCUCAGGCUCCCCCAGCAGAGUCAUCUAUGCCAAACUAGGAGAGGAGAUGCUGGACUACAAGGACCUGGCAGCCCUUCCAAAAACCAAGGCCAUCUAUAACAUUGACAGGCCAGACAUGCUGUCCUACUCUCCAUAUGUCAGCUACCCAUCUGAGGAGAGGCACUACGGAGAGUCCCCACAGCUGCUUCCUUCUACCCCUUCUGAGGGCGAUGGGGAGAAGUCCCCCCGUCAGCGGAGGCCCUCCAGUCCCAGCUCUAACAGCUCCCUGGGGGGGUACGGACGAUACACCCCGUGCCGUUCUCCCCAGAAUUACAGCCGUCCAGGGCCAGAGGUAAGCCUUGGUGGUAGACCCAGCAGCCAGGCCCGAGACUCCAGUUCUCUCCCUUUGCCUCCAUCCCUCAUGGGUGUCAUUAAGUACCCCUCCACUUGGGCCAGGGAUUCACCUUCUCUCCCCGUUCACUCUUCUGCUGGGGCUGAAGUGAGUGGUGGUGGUAGUGGUGGCAGUGGCAAGUUGUCACCAACAUCAGAAGGUGGCAGUACCGGCUUGUCUUAUCACCUAAACCCCACCACCCUGGCCAUGCUGCAGCAGCACAACUACAUCCCUUACUUUAGAGGUAGUGAGAGUGGACGGAGCACCCCCAGCUUAUCCACCUACUCUGAUGGCAAAUCCCCUUCCUCUACUUCAACAUAUGUGGCUGCUCCCCGGCAUUUCCACGUUCCAGAGACUCUGGUCAAAGAUAAUAUCUAUAGAAAACCCCCCAUCUACAGACAGCAUGCUUCUAGAACAUCCUGGCAGGAUGGGGAGGAUAGUAAGAGGACCAGUUGGAUGAUUUUAAAGAGCGAGAUAGAUGGACACAUGGGCCCCGAUGAGCUGGACCCCUGCAAGUCCACCUGCAGUCUGCCCACCGACACCUCGCAGCCCAAUUUCCCCUACAAUAAGACUGCAUCAUUACCCGGCUAUGGAAGGAACGGCAUCUACAAGGCUGCUGAGAUGGUGGAGGAUGAAGCGGACCCAGACUCCCAAAGCUGGGGAGGCAUGAGAGGUGAACAAUGUUUCUCUCCUGUUCUGUGUUCUUUUCCUCCUAAUGGAAGGAUUUGCAAGCUUUUUCAUUGCUGUCAGUGCUCCAAUUGAACAUUUAAAAUACAGACUAUACACUUAAGCCCAAAACCUGCAGACAUUUGGACGGUAGACUUUGUAAUCUUUUUGACCCAGCACUUCCACAAUUCUGAACCAGUUGUGACAAAACAAUAGUAAAAGUGCUGAGCGUCUUAGUGUUGUACUUCCUAUGGAUGUAGCAACAAAUACAUGGAUGUUUAUUAUGGAAAGAAGAACUCCCAAAAAUAAUUUCACAAUGUUACAAGCCCAAAAGAGACCCUUUCCCUCCAGAUAAUACUGCUAUUUAAGACUCUUAAACUGGUAGAUGUAAAAGGCCUGUGUCAUCUUUCCCUCAGUACAUAUGGGUUAUGGGAGUUUACAGUCCCUGAUUACAUUGUGACCAAUCAUGCAGCGCCCUGCAGCUCUGGCUCCAGAUCAGUUACUGGAGGUAACAAUGUAGAGGGGUGAUGUCAUCUUUCCAGCUGCAGAAUUAUUGGUGUGUGUGUGUGUGUGUGUGUGUGUGUGUGUGUGUGUGUGUGUGUGUGUGUGUGUGUGUGUGUGUGUGUGUGUGUGUGUGUGUGUGUGUGUGUGUGCGCACAUUUCAAAUACAAAGGUAUUUUUCCAGGAGAUUAAUUCUCUCUUUCUCUCUUUUCAUGCCUCUCAGAAUACAAGAUCUACCCUUAUGAAGUUCUGGCAGUGACGCAUAGAGUGAAAGUGAAGCUUCCCAGAGACGUGGAUCGCACCAGACUGGAGAGACAUCUAUCCCCUGAGGACUUCCGACAGGUGUUCUGCAUGACACUGCAGCAGUUUGACCGCCUGGCCCUCUGGAAGAAGACCGAUCUGAAGAAGAAGGCACGUCUCUUUUAAGAAAAGAAAAGUGUCUCAAAAAGCAUCCGUCCUGUGUUCCUGGAAACCGAAAAUAAACGCAACCCAUUUGAAUAAUCUAUAUAUGCACCGCCGUGAUAGCCCUACUUUCCACCUGUAAAACUCCAUGCCAUCUGCCUGAUGCCACGGACAGGCACUCCCUGUGGAACCAUGUUAAAGCAGCAUCUGAAACUUUUUGUAUGCACUGUGCUCCGAAUGUGUGACUGACAACUCUACAGAUGAGGAGCUGCGUUUGCAUGGCCUGUGUUGAUGCUCCUUGUCUGCAUCCCCCCAACCCAUUUCCAUGCUUUCAAACAACAUGUCUAAAUAAACACAUUGAAAAUAAUUGUGGUGCAGGACUACCCUCAGCUUGAAGUGUUUCUGAUUUUCUGAUGUGCAGCUUCUUAGACUCUGUCUGUCCGGACUUAUCUCACCUAACAUUUUUUAUGUUUUUUUUAUCAGCAGUUUGUUUCAUCAUCUGUCUCUACAUAACAUUGUCUUGCUACUCUGCUUUUUCUCUCUUGCUGUCUCUCCAUUAUUUAGUCAUCAUUACAUUAUGAAGUCAUUUUAUUUGAACCGUUGCUUUAAGGCAGUAAGGCGCCCUUUGACUUGAAGAACAAAGACGAGCAUACGAGAAAGCGUCAGCUUCUGUGAUCUCUUUCUUUAAAAACGGUCAGAAAGCACCUUAUCAUACACUGUCUUCCUCGCUGAUUAGCUUUGAUAUGUGUUCUCUUCUCUUAUGCAAGCAUCCCAUAAAUCAGCACUGAAAGGAGAGCCGAGGCUGGACAUGGCAGUACAUCACAGAUAGAGAGGGGGUGUCAAACAGGAGGAGGCCCUGCAGAAAACAUUUAUUACAGGUUCAGGGUGUGCAGAGGUGUCCACAAACAAAUGAAAAUAUUUUUUAUAAGCUAUUUUUGACUUCUGGAAAGUACCAUUAAACAGUCAUGAGUGUAGCUGAGAGAACUCCUGAUUUGUUACCGGGGGAAAAAAGCCCAAGCUGACUUUGUUAAGCUUCAGAUACCUGCAGCAGCACCUAUGCACAAUAGGUGGGAAUUAGCUUGAUGCUCUAGCUGUGUUAUUUCCUCCUCGGAUAGAUAUUUACCUCCUGUAUAUGUUUGUUGUUUGAAAGCUUUGUUGCAUACAGUAAAAGCUCCACAUUUAAGCUGAAGUUCAUAAGCUUUGCUUGAUGAUUUCUGGACUGCAAAACUUGCCAACAUACGUACUGCAGUAUGUAUCUGAACAUAUACUGGACAUAUACCAGAUAUAUUUGCAAUAUUUGUCACCUUACAAGCCAAUGUGUAUAACUCUUCAGGCAUGCAUGAGGGUGGGAAAACGGGGUUUGUCCACUGAUCGCAAACUGCAAGUGUAUGAAAACAUUAUCAAUGUGUUUUGAGUGAUUGAUUAUUUAAAUGGCAUUAACUGAAAUGCCCAGGUCAGCUGCUUACAUUAGCCUGUAUUAUGUAUUUAUUUAAUUGCAUUAGGAAAGGAUUUUAUUUUGAAAUCUUAAGGGUAUAGUGUAGAAUGAAUAACAUCCUGGAGAAGAUGGCUUUUGAAAAGUAACAUAUCGACUUUUGAGUUUAAUCUGAGUGUCAAAUCAUGUUUGCUCCUGUAAGUAACACACUAACUGUUGUCAUAAAGUGUCAUGUCCUCUUUCUAAUAUUCAUCUGCUAUUAAAGUGCUUUAUCCAAACUAG